rnacentral:rRNA from 1 species
GAUGAACGCUGGCGGCGUGCCUAACACAUGCAAGUCGAACGGAAAGACGCUGAGCUUGUGCCUUUGACGAUAGCGGCGGGCGGGUGAGUAACGCGUGGAUCAUCCACUUGUAUUUCUGGGAUCAUUACGAAAAACCGGCUAAUAUACCAUAGAAUAUAUUGAACCGCAGUGUGCAUUGGAAAACUACGGCUUUGGGGUCUCGACUAGCUGCUUCCGAGCUGCAUUGGCUGGUUGUUAAGGUAACGGCCUACCAAGGCUACGAUGCGUAGCCGACGGGAGAGAGUGAUCGGCGACACUGGAACUGAGACACGGUCCAGACUCCUACGGGAGGCAGCAGUAGGGAAUCUUAGGCAAUGGGCGAAAGCAUGACGCAGCAAGGGCGCGUGAGUGAAGAAGGCCUUCGGAUCGUAAAGCCCUGUUAUUGGGGAAGAACAGCUGUGGAAGUAGACAUAGCCGUCUUGACGGUACCUAAUCAAAAAGCAACGGCUAACUACGUG